rnacentral:rRNA from 1 species
GACGAACGCUGGCGGCGUGCCUAAUACAUGCAAGUAGAACGCUGAAGAGAGGAGCUUGCUCUUCUUGGAUGAGUUGCGAACGGGUGAGUAACGCGUAGGUAACCUGCCUUGUAGCGGGGGAUAACUAUUGGAAACGAUAGCUAAUACCGCAUAACAAUGGAUGACACAUGUCAUUUAUUUGAAAGGGGCAAUUGCUCCACUACAAGAUGGACCUGCGUUGUAUUAGCUAGUAGGUGAGGUAAUGGCUCACCUAGGCGACGAUACAUAGCCGACCUGAGAGGGUGAUCGGCCACAAUGGGACUGAGACACGGCCCAGACUCCUACGGGAGGCAGCAGUAGGGAAUCUUCGGCAAUGGGGGCAAACCUGACCGAGCAACGCCGCGUGAGUGAAGAAGGUUUUCGGAUCGUAAAGCUCUGUUGUAAGUCAAGAACGGGUGUGAGAGUGGAAAGUUCACACUGUGACGGUAGCUUACCAGAAAGGGACGGCUAACUACGUG